rnacentral:sRNA from 2 species
CGCCCGUCAAACCACGAAAGUUAACAAUACCCAAAACCGGUGGCCUAACCAUUUAUGGAGGGAGCCGUCUAAGGUAGGGUUGAUGAUUGGGGUUAAGUCGUAACAAGGUAUCCGUACCGGAAGGUGCGGAUGGAUCACCUCCUUUCUAAGGAGUAAAACUAAAAUUACAAUCAAUAUACAUUCUCAUCAUAUUCAGUUUUGAAGGAUUUUCCUUCUAAUAUAAGUAAGAUCUUUGAAAAGUAGAUAAAUUCUGUCGUAACAAAUAAUAUAAAAAAGACAAAAGGUUAAGGAAAAAAGGGCGCACAGUGGAUGCCUUGGCACUAAGAGCCGAUGAAGGACACAACUAACGGCGAAACGCCACGGGGAGCAGUAAGUAUGUACCGAUCCGUGGAUAUCCGAAUGGGGGAACCCGGCAUGUUGGAGACAUGCCACUUGUGAAAACAAGAGGGAACGCAGGGAAUUGAAAUAUCUUAGUACCUGCAGGAAAAGAAAGUAAUAACGAUUCUGCUAGUAGCGACGAGCGAACGCGGAGGAGCCCGAUACAAUAACAGUUACAAAACUAUUAAUGAGAAGAAUAAUUUGGGAAGGUUAACCAAAGAAGGUGAAAGUCCUGUAAUCGAAAUUAAUAGACUGGUGUAUCAAAGAGUACGGCGAGACACGAGAAAUCUUGCUGGAACGAAUAAGGAGGACCAUCUCCUAAGGCUAAAUACUACUUAGUGACCGAUAGUGAACCA